rnacentral:misc_RNA from 1 species
AAAAGAUCAUGCGAUAAACUAAAUCAACACAAACUUUACAAGCAAAGUACACUUAAAUGAAACAACCAUGCAGCUUGAAUUUCAUAUUCACAACUAAGACAGAAGGAUAAAACAAGGCCCUCAUCUUAGUGCGAUGUUGAGUUUUAUAAAUUAACAACCUCAGUAUACAAGAUUUUAUUUACACAUGAAUUGUCUUCAAUCAUGGACAUGGCACCAAGAAAAUGACCAAUGAAAAACACCAUAACCACCAUGGUUUAUAAUCGAACAAUAAUUGCAUCCAUAUUUGCUCAUUUCGAAAACUGAUAUUAGGCAAAAAUCAAAACCAAUAUUAACAAAAUCCAUACUGAAUUAAACUCUGCUGGUAAAUGCUAUUUUGUUAUUGAUUACCUAUUGAGCAUUAUAGAGGAAUUUUCUUGUCAAAACGACAAAACCUAGUAUAAAUAUGGCAUCAAAUCAAAAGUUGGCUGCAAAUUUAAAUAACUUAUAUCCUCAGGGUUAGUUCUACCAGCAUAGAGCUCUUGAUAUUAAUCCAUAUAAAUUUUUCUUACCAAGACCAAUUGAGGAUGCAACA